UUCUCCGCCUCCGUCUCGGAGCGACGUCACAGUUACACGGGGUCAGGACUAAAAAUCAUCGCUGCGGUCAAUGGCCAAUCAUAUCUGAAUAAGCACCACAUCGAUGUUCCACCUGGUGACUUUUGAUAACGCAGCGUUUGCACGUAUAUUGUACGUUCCCUUUCAUUUUCAGUUAACCCUUCACAGGCGUCCAGGAAUUACUUUCAUAGAAUGUCAAUAUGUAAAAAUUGGUGGUGUUUUAUUUGUGAUUUUGACAUAAGUAGGUUUAAUAGGCUUUCCAAACGACACAGAACAAGCAGAUAACCUCUUCACAUUCCGAGGUCUGGUUGCUGAGCAGCCCCGCUAAUUUUAGACGGGUCGGGUUACCAUACUGAGUGAAGGAAUGGGAGGUCUGCAGUCUGGUUGUGCGCAUGCGUCGUCGAGCUACUACAGGUCACUUCAAGGUGCAAAAGCUGGAGUCUCUGAGCCGUUGAAGGUUGAGUGAUUGUAUCAUUUAAAAUUAUACUGCAUAUAAGUGUUGUUGACAAAUACCAUCAUACGUUUUGUUCAUUUUCAGAUCAAGUGUUAUUGGUAAAUUAUGCCUAAUUGUUAUUGUAUCAUGGAAAAUAUCCAAUUAAUAUGCAUAUAAUAAAAAAGUAAGAUAU